UGGGUAUUUUUCCUUCUUUUGAAACUUAUUCAUUUGCCGCUAAGAAUCGUACAGCUCCUAUUCCCCUUCUUUUUCGCUAACUUAUCGGGAACAUCAAUCGAUCACGCGGUUUCCCUAUUUUGCUCCGACCAAUCACACUUAUAGAUCUCUCCUUUCUCCAUUCUUAAAGAACUCGAAACUUUUCUUUCUUGAACCAACUCGAACCACCACGGCAACCACCACCUCUCACCACCGUUCCGAACACACACCCUCACCACCCCACAACACAUUUCGCCGUACCUUACAACCCACCGAAGAAUCAGACGCCGCCGGAAUCCUUUCGGGUUCACAACAUUUCGUUUCGGUAUACCUUCUGUCCAUUUAUUCGUUUCUUUCCGAGCCAUUUCGGAUGUGGAUUAACGGUUACAGUGGAUGGGUGUUUUGUAUGGGUUUGUUUUGAACAAAGAAGAUGAACCAUAACCAGACUCGUUGCUGCCACUUGUUCGGACCGAGUUCGACCGCCGAAUAACAAGAAUACAAGAGAUACAGGCUCUGUUCGAAGAAAACAAUCAUAAACAACCUUCCGCGGACCGCUUGCACGCUCGCCGGAACUCGAAGAGGCCACCGGAGGACGAGCCAGAACCGUUUCGUCGGGUAACUGUUUCGUUCUUUUGGAACCCUCAACCUUUACUCGUGCGAUGGAAUUUUAAUACGCAACCACUGUUAACUAUUGAGCCGAUAUUCAAGACGAAACAAGAUUUAGGGUGGACUAGAUACACACCUAGAUUAAUCUAUCUUUUAUUGUUAUGUU